UACGUAGAAGACUAGUGUUAUUCAUCUUUAAUAGGUUUAAAGGGUACCUAGACGGUAUAAUUAGUCUUUAACAGGAAACGGUUAUACUAGAGUUAUAUAUGAGGAGGUGAGUAUUUGUGGAGUAGAGUUGAAAUUCUUUGAUACCAUGAAGACUGGUAAAGGCGAAAGCAACCUUUUAUCUAAUAACUGACGUUUGAGGGACGAAGGCUCGGGUCGCGAACAGG
rnacentral:rRNA from 1 species